rnacentral:rRNA from 1 species
UACGAAGGAUCCAAGCGUUAUCCGGAUUUAUUGGGUUUAAAGGGUGCGUAGGCGGCUUAUUAAGUCAGUGGUGAAAGCCUGCAGCUUAACUGCAGAAUUGCCAUUGAUACUGAUGAGCUUGAAUAUACUUGAGGUGGGCGGAAUGUGUCAUGUAGCGGUGAAAUGCUUAGAUAUGACACAGAACACCGAUUGCGAAGGCAGCUCGCUAAAGUAUGAUUGACGCUGAUGCACGAAAGCGUGGGGAGCAAACAGG